UCUUUUUGUCGACUUUCAAAAUCUUACGUGCACGUCGUCGAGAAAUAUUCUUAGUUUUUCGAUACAAGUCCAAUAAUGAAAGUUUUUAUUUUUGGACGACGAGUGAAUAGUAAAUCGGGAUUUCUCGAUAAACGAACCGAGCUCGUUUAUCAGAAUUUUGAGAACGAGCUUGCGUUUUCUAUAUUUAUAUAGAAUUACGAGUGCAAUGAAAGUGAGUAGAGGUUGAGAGGGCGAGUAACAAAGAGUAUGGGUUGUUAGUUGUUAAAACGAGACGAGACGAGAUAUUUAACGACUAACGGGUUAAUAUCCUAAAUAUCUAACCUACCCUACCCCUAACCACCCCCAAACCUCCCAAAACCCCUUUCCCCUCACUAACUCACGCUAUAUCAGCCCACACCACACACACAACUCACAUAUUCACACACACAACACCUAAAACACACACUACACACGCCAUUUUCCAUUUAAGCUUGGACGGAGCUUUUGACCUCCGAUUUGAGCACCGAGACGAGCGCCGAUCAUCUUUUCGAUCACGUAUCUAAGUAGGUCCUUUUGGGAAGUAACGACUUGAGGGAGAGAGUGACGUUACUCAUUGAUACAGAGACACAACGAGGUUGAGCUGAUGUGAUGAUGGUGCUGCAAUGAGCGGAGUCUCCAGGGUUGUUAAUAAAUAGUUAACUUGUCUAGAAUAUGUCUUCAUACAUAUGUCUAGCUACUUUCCGCUGCAAGAUGUUGUUGAUGUUAUAGUAUGUUAUGUCAUACUUUGAGUCUUAAGAGAAUGGUUUCAUACGAUGUAUAACUUGAUUAAUGAUAUUAAUUAAGUUUUAUGCUGUC